CCCAAAUAGGCAAAGAAGAUGAGAAUCCCUUUUGCUGACACACACAGAAGAAACUAUAAUAGGAAUCGGAAGUAACAAGUUUUAAUAAUUUUUUUUUAUAUGUUGCAGAUUUUAUAUCCAUCUUGCAUUUGUUCAAUAAAGUAGUUAAGAGCAACCCAAACCGGUGAUAUUAGAACAUUUGGCUGGAUUGUUCCGUACCAUAAUCCAAUCAAGGUUUGCAACACUAAAAAGUGCUCCAGUAAUGACCCAAAUAUCCAGUCCACCCCAAGCACGACCAAUUUCAUAACUGUUUAACCAGAGUUUCAGUAGCACGACCAUACUAUUUCGUAAGUGUUUAACCACGACUACAAAUGUCCUCAAGGCACGCAAGCAAUUAGUCAUUUCAGGCUUACAAAAAAACAAAAUCAUCUGCUAAAAGCCCAAAAGCAGUCAACACUACAUCUCCAUGAUUUCCAUAUAUGGAACAAUUGGCCAUAUGGCCUCACCUAGCGCUACGAUAAGGAGGAGAGUAGGGUGAUCUGGACCUCUCCCUCCUUGACCUUCCACCAUAGGGGGAGUGCCUGGGAGAAUAAUCACGCGCCCCACGAUAAGGAGAGUGCCUGGGAGAAUAAUCACGACCCCCACGAUAAGGAGAGCGCCUGGGAGACCUCCGAUAAUCAUCACGGCCCCGAUACCUACCACGAUCUCCGCGAUAACCAUAGUCUCUAUUGCUUUUCAGCCCCAGAUAGUGUCCCGGCGUUGGAGUUCUUGGCCGUUUCCUCCGUGACUGAAAUAUAAAUAAAUCACCUUAGUUCUACAGCACAAUCCAGUAUCAUGAAACACCACCAAAAACCAGCAAUUUUUUUCCAGAGGUAGAGAGGCAAUCAAACUUGGAAAUUUUCCCAAGUUGAAAGUUGCACCUAUCAUCAAGCUAAACCUAGGGGUGCACAAUACCUACAAAUUUAAAGCACAAUUCAUAUAAACUUAAACAAAAAAAAAGUAUUAAACAACAUAUUUGCUCGGAAAAUGUCCAUGGAAGGAGCAAGCUACCAAAAAAAAUUAAGAAAACGAUCAGGCAUGCAUUACUCGUGUUCUUUAACUAAGUGCCAGGUAUUAUGAAAUACCAUAAGCCUGAUUAGAAAGUUGUUGAUAAUGUCCUUGAUUAGUUGAGGGUUGAAAUUGAAUGCUGUUGGUAAUGUCCGUUGAUUAGUUGAGAGUUGAAAUUGAAUGCUGAAGUUGUAUUAUAGUUGCUAUGUUUAGUUGAUCACAAGCAUUUGAAAAGCUGUUUAAGCUGGCCAUUGAUCAAGCUGUUUCACUUAAGUUGUGACAUGGAAGAACUGAUCAUCUUUGAUUGCUGCCAACAUAGCUGACAAUAUCUUCUGAAUAUAACCAGAAAACCUUCAAGUUAAGAAGAAGGAUCCAGUCGAAACUGACUCAUUGUCAAGACCAGGGGCACAAUAACAUUACCUUCUCCACUGUUAUAUAUCUGCCCUCUAGAACUGAUUGAUUGAGAUACUUAAUGCAACGGUUCGCAUCAUCAACAUUGUCCAUUGUAACAAAAGCAAAACCACGAGAAAUGCGCGUACGAGGCUCCACAACAAGAAAACAUGAUGCUACCUUUCCCUCCUUGGAGAAAUGUUCUUCUAGGUCCCUUUGUGUGACCCUUGUAGACAAACCAGUCACAUAUAAUGUAUUUCCAGGAUUUACAGUAUCAGUCCUGCCACGGCUUCUGGAUCGUGAUCUGCCACGACUUCGGGACCGCGAUCUAUACCUUGGCCGGGACAAGGAUGUAGAUCUGGACCUUGACCUUGAUCUGGGUCUGGAAUGGGAUCUUGACCUAGACCUUGACUGUUCUCUCCAAGGGGAAAGUGACUGUGAAUUCCUUUUUCCAGGAGAAUCCGCCAUUGUGAACCUAACAGAAAGAGCCUGAAGGCAAAGCCUCCAAGUUAGGGUUAUGAAGUUUGUGUACAGAAAUAAGGUUUGCGAUUUUCU
rnacentral:misc_RNA from 1 species